rnacentral:rRNA from 1 species
AUAGAGAGCUUGCUCUCUGAUGGCGAGUGGCGAACGGGUGAGUAACAUAUCGGAACGUGCCUAGUAAUGGGGAAUAACUAAUCGAAAGAUUAGCUAAUACGCAUAGACCUACGGGUGAAAGCAGGGGAUCUUCGGGACCUUGCGUUAUUAGAGCGGCCGAUAUCUGGUUAGGUAGUUGGUAGGGUAAAGGCCUACCAAGCCGACGAUCAGUAGCUGGUCUGAGAGGACGAUCAGCCACACUGGAACUGAGACACGGUCCAGACUCC